GGGGGCGGGGGACUCCGACCUACCGCCUUCACCCCCCUACCCCUCCCUUCGGGACUGGAGGUAAAGAGCCACUGCGAUCGGCGCUUCCCCCUUCACUGAGGUCUUUCUCUGUUUCAAGGGUUCUCCAGCAAUGAGCAGUGCAGAUUCGCCGUCUCCAACAUCUGCAGGCCGACGGGAUGUUGCAGUGCGAUGAUGGGGCCCCAUGCCUGGAAAGCCAGCGUGAGGACUCUCAGGUUGUGGACGGCGGCCAACGGCUUCCUGGGGUGGUGCCAUUGGGCCAAUAUUAGGGUUUGACGACAGGCUGAGAGAGGAUCCGCUCCAGCUGAGGCGAGGCGUAGAGAAUCACGGUUCGAUUGCAUCCAAUGAGGCUUGAAACGUGACAAUCAGCCUGUCAAUGCGGCGGCCGCCGAGAAGAUUGGAGAUUGGAUGCCAAAGUCUCCACUAUUUGUACGGUUGGUGCAUAGGUUCCCCCAAAGGUAUUUACUUAUUUAUUUUAUUUAGUGAAGAGUUCGUUUCAUCCGGUAUCUGCUGGCGCUCGGCUAUCCAUCUCACCAACCCCCCAAGUUUGAUCGUUGCAGUGUUCAUCUCACAGCAUCAUAAGAUGGCUGCACAUCUUGCGGAUCCCCACCAUUUGACCAUGUGAGAUGAACAGUGCGAUCUAUCCCCCCCUUCCCCCCAACUCAAAUUUUUCCUCGCCGCAUCACCUGAUCUGGCCCGCGGCCAGGGCCUUCACUUGCAGCAGAUCACCCCCAUCAUAUCCACCUAAUCAGAAGCGUCCUUUUGGGUCACCCCCAUCAGUCUUGAAAUACAGAUAUAUAUGUAUGGAUAUAAAUAUAUAUUUCUGGGCAAUGUUUGGUUUUUUUUGUGAUUCACAACCUGUAUAUAUAGUGGAGACUUCUACAUUCAUUCUUCAUCUCAUAGGCAGUUUUGAUUUCUGGUCCAUCUUCUUCUCCUCUAACUUGAUUCUAAUCUAUUUUGCAGUGAUGGAGAUCUACAACGGAGACUGUCAUGAUCAUCAUCCUUCCAAUCAAGGACAGGAGCAAAUGCAGCAGGAGGCAACAUCUAUGCAGUGACAAUCACGUUUCAGGCGUAAUCAGAUGCAAUCAAGCUGAACUUCAGCACGAUGGUGAAACUUCUGAAUGCUGCAAUGACUUUGGGGCCUGACCCACAGCUCAGAAGCGCCUAGUGAAUGAUCUUGGCCUGUUUGAUUCUCUGUAUUUCGGCUGUUGUGGAUCCACUUCCAUUUAUUAUCAGUCUACCUGAAGAUUGGCAAAACUCCACCCAAGGAAGCUUCUCACUGCCGACUACCUCUUCAGAGACUUCACGCAAGCUUUCCAGGCGUGGUGCAACAUAAUCUUGUUGCGAUUCUUGAAGAUGGCAAAUAUGUCCUACCCACUGCUGAAGAAUUGGUGAAACAAAUGAAGAUUUUGGGGCAUGCGGUAAUUAUGAACAAGCGAGUGGAUUAUUAUAGUUUUUGAAAACUCUAUCAUUCAUUUGAGUGGCUGAUUGUUGUGGGCUUUACAUGGCAUUGUUCCAUCUGUCAAUUUAAAUCUAUCUGUUUUAACUAUUUUUUAAUAUAUCUUGCCCCUGCCUUCUUAUUUCCCAACUCCAAUGGAUCAGACAACUCCAUUGGAGGUAACACACACACACACACACACACACACACAUAUAUAUAAUAAGCAUACCAUCUCAUCUCAUAGGACAAUCAUAAAAUUUUAACCCACCUAAUCCAGAACCCAUAGACAAUGACUGGAGUUAAUUUUUAUAUUUAAUU
rnacentral:lncRNA from 1 species